AUGGAUGGAUGGACUCUGAGCUUUGUUCUGCUUCUGCCAUUAACUGUGUGUUAUGGCAGUGAAGUGACGCUUGUGAAAACUCUCGGCAGUGAACCAGAUGUGACUCCUCUCUGCACCAAUGACUCAAUGACUGUCAUCACACUUAUAAUGUGUAGGAUCAGCAGAGAGAGGAGCAGAGGAGAACAGUGUCAGCUGCUGUAUGAAUAUAAACAGGGCUUUAAACAUCGAUGUGGCUCCAGGUUCAAACUCAUAAUAGAGAAUCAGACUGUGUUCCUCCACCUGAGCAGUUUAACAGCAGAGGACAGUGGGAACUACACCUGUGAGUGUUCACAUCUUGAUGGGACAUACAUUGUCCAUCUCAACAUCACUGUAGAAGGUAAACGUACUUUGUGUACUUUUGUUCUGCUACUGUACACACAGUACAGUGUUUACUGUACUAGGUUACUACAUCAAAGAGUAAAUAGAGCAGCACUACCAAUAGUUUGUGUGUGUUUUAAAGACACAGCGGAGGAAAACCCCAACCAGAGGAUCCUUCUUUGUGUUUUGCUUGGUGUAAUAUUUGUCACUAUUACACUUGGCGUGAUUCUGAGAUUCCCCUACCACAGUAUAGUAAGCAGACGACUAGAAGCACAGAGGAGUCCACCUCACACGGUACCGUACACGUUACACCUUCAUCAGUGGUGCAGUAAAGGUCACGUUAAUCAUGUGUCUCUCUUCAGGCGACAUCGACAGAAGACAUCGAGCCGUACAGCACGUUCACACGGAGAGAUUGUGGCCUGUAUUCAACCGUCAAACUGCAAAACAUGCAUCAAUGCUGAUAAUUAGAACAUGUGUAGUACAAGAUGACAAUUAUUUCUGUCUCUGUUUGCAGCCUUUUCGUGUUUUGGUGAAGUUAGAUGUUGUCCACUAGGUGGCAGUAUAUAGCUGCCUCUGCGUCACAUGAUGUUUGACACAGUUCAUUAACCUGCAGUGUUUCUAUGAAGCAAUAAACAAGCAGUUUACUGUCA
rnacentral:lncRNA from 1 species